GUUUUUUUGUUUUUUUCUUUUUUUGGAGGGAAAGCACCUUACAACAAAGAAUAAUACUAUUUUGAAUUUCAGAGCUUUCCCUUUUUCAAAGCUCUUUACCCCUUCUGACUUAAUUUGUCCUCAGAGCAAGGCCAUAACUAAGUAGGGAAGGAUUUUUAGUACCGAUCUUGCAGCCUGAGAAAAAGCUCACAUUAUGGAAAGUUAAAGAGGAGAGGUGAAGACAGGGUUGCUUUGUCAUCUCUGGCCACACUCGGGCCCACAGAAGCUGUACUGGAACCAGGCGUGCCCAGGCUGUGCUCCUGCGGGGGACCGUGUUGUUAAAAGGAGCACGGGACCUCCCUCUUGCUCUGCCCUGGUCCACCCCAGCUCUCUGAUGGUGAGAAGCCUCUUUGAGGCCAUUUUUUCCAGAGGUUUGUGUGAUUUGCAAAUUUGAUAAACACGCCAUCCGUGUCUCUUCCUCCAACUUAUUUUCAACACGGCAAGUGGGCAGGACACAGGACAGAGCUCUGUGCCUCUCCAUGGAAACAUUCAAAUGACAUGACUGGUGCACACCAGCCACAGACAGACACUGUCACCUUGAAGUCCUCAACCUUCUCUAAGUGUGGAACUGCUGAGAAUCUUUUCAAAGCAGACUUGCCAGUGGAGAGGAAGCACUGAAUAGUCUGUCCAUCUGAGACCUUGUGGGUGGUCCGGCCAGCCUGGCCACCUCUGUGGCUGCAGUGGGGACAGAGGCCACAAGAUCAUCAUGCUGCCACAAGGUGACCUGGUCGGGAUGGCUGUCCUGCUGACUGUGGGCGCUCCCGGUCACACCUUUCCCUGCUGGUCCUGUGUACUUAUGUGCACAGGACACAACGAGAGAUAUUCAGAUGCUUACUGAAAGCAAGACAUACUUUCUGGGGCAUUCCCCCAAUCGACUGUUCUGGUGAAGCUCGUCAAAACAGGAAAUGAGGUUAGCAUGGAAUGACUUUCUCUCAGAGAACAGGCCUUGCCUCUGAGACCACCACUUUCCUCCCCAAUGCUGUGAGCCUGUCGGAUGCCUCCUCUGGGUUUGCCCGGAAGCCAGGCUGAGCAUGUGCUUCUGUAGCUGGUAGGACCCAUUGCUUUGGAAAAUGGAGGUGAUCUGCGCUCGAUCCCAGCCUUGCAAACCUUCCCCCUUUCACAGUAGUGCCUGGAAGACGUUUGCAAGCUGCUCUGAAGUUAUAUCCUCACACAUUUCAAACACAGCCAGAGCGUGGUCCAGGGAAGGCUCCAUGCAUGUCCCAGGCUGAGGGUUAUAUGCAAGCUCCCCACAUGGGCUUUAGGCAGCUCCCUUGUCAUGCCGCUUGGUCUAUGUGUCCCCUCAGAGAUGCCAGCAAAAGAGAUGGCUCCAGCAAGAUGGACCAUGGUGGGCACAGUCCACCUUCCCGCUGCUCCCUGAGUUUGGUCAGAAACACAGUGACAAUGGAGCUGACCUGGCUUCACUCAUGGGAGGCCCUAUGUGGGGUUCUCCGACACAGUUAUCAGAAGAAGCCAGGGUUUCACCGUCCAGGCCACCGGCAGCAGACCGAUCUAUGCUGAGGCCUUCUGACCAAUGGCCCCACUUGGACUUUGUAGAUUUAAACCUUUUUGUUAAUGCAGAGUGCUGUGGAGUCACAUUGGCUUCUGUCUGAUGGAAGGGCGUCAACCUGGGGAGACUUGGGUUUGACUCCCAGGUAUCCCCACAUAUGCAAGGUGGGUUACCUCUUGGAGGUUGACCUGUGUAUGACACUCUCACUGUUUUAGUAUCAGCUCUGCUCUCUUUUACAUGAUUGGGCAGGAACUCAGAGGCCACUCUGAGUCCCUGUGGCCCUUCCUUCACACAGCGUCUCUGCUGGCCCCACAGGUGAACAGGUACUGCGUUCUCAGGGUGGCUGCCUAAGAAGAUGGAUUAGCACCCCCAGAGUGACCCCGGUGGCCAUUCCACCCAGCCUCUGUUGGCUCCGACACAACCUCUGGUGUGUCACCACAUUAUCGCUGUCCUCACAGCAGGCCCCAGGGCUGAGCUCAUCAUCCUUCCAUUUCAGUUAAGAAAGCUGAGUUCUGAUGGUUUCAAUGUGCCCCUGCUCUCUGAACCAGAGGCUGAAAGCUGCCCAUGAUUUAAAUCCAUCGGGGGUGUGGUAUGGCCACCCAGUGCUCCAGGUGCUGCUGCUUUGCACUUUAUAAAUAGGCAAAAGCAAAAACCUUUUCUCCUUAAAAUGGGCUGUGCGUGGUAAGGCAGUCAGGAGAAAGACACCCGAGCACAGCUGACAACAGGAAGAGACCAGAGGUCAAUGGCCUAGCGAGCAGAGACCUCUGCCCCCUCUUGUUGCAGCAGUGUGGCGACCACCAAGCCUCCUCUGUGUGGACACUGUGGCCAGGCUGGCCCUGCUCUGCCAGAGUUGUAUGAGGGCCCCCGCUAGGGGGCCAGGCUGGAGAUAGCUUGGUUUUCUGAAAACUGCCUGCCACUCCUCACUGUGUGGUCAGCCGAGGCAGAAAGGCAGAAGCCGGGAUCUGCACUCCAACGGCUGCUGGUCCCCUCUGGGCCCAGCCAGAGCUCCGUGUCCCCGUCUCUUCUCAGUGGGGAACAGAUGCUAGUAAAGUGAGUUCAGUCUUUAUGCUGGGAGCCAGUCAGAGGCCAGGGCUAGCAGUUAGAGGCUCUGGGGCUCAGGCUGACCUCCACCCCUUAGGCAACAGAGGGUCAGCGAGAUGGGGAUGGGAAGGGCUAGGAAACCAUGAAGACAGUGGCCCUAGUAGCAGGGGCUUUGCUGCCACUUGAGCAGGAAAAGCAAAAAAUCAGCCCAGCUCAAGGGUCCCACCCCGGCCCUUGCCAGUUCUCACUCCACCACUUCACUUGUGGAAUCUCUGGAGGCAGCAGAACCUGACUCUAGUGACUGCUGGUCCCUUUGGGCCCCUGGUUUGUCGGGGAUGGUCCCAUCGAGCCUAUUAGCCAGUUAGUGUCCGUGUAUCACCUUCAUCUCUGCCUUUUGUUUCAGACAUGUCCUGGUUCGGACAAUAAACUAUAUGGACCCCCAUCUUUAGGUCACCUUAAUAUUCACAAGAAGUUGCUCCACUGACACCAACUCCUUCAUACCCGUCAUCUCUAAGAAGGAAGUAUGUGGGCAGUUCACCAGCAGUCUGGCAAGUUGGCCCCAGAGUGGCAGGGCCAGCCCCGGAGUAGAUCGGGGGGAGAUGACGAGAAUGCACAUGUGCACACACGUGUGUGUGUGGUCAUGUGAGCCCUGUGGGGGUGUAUGUGCGUGUGUAUGGGGUGUGAGUGGAUAUCAUUGUGGGGCCUAUGGUACACGUGUAUGUGGUAUGUAUGCGGUGUGUAGUGUGUGUCUACCUGUGGGUGUUGUGUGUGUGCAUGUGUGCAUACGUGUGUGGUGUCUAUGGGGUGUGCAGGUGUGUGUGUAUGUGUAUGUGGUAUAUCUGUGGUAUGUGUGUGUGCAUAUGUGUGUGAUGUCUGUUGGAUGUGCAGGUAUGUGUAUAUGUAUGUGGUGUAUGCGUUCAUAUGUGCGUGGAGUCUCGGGUUUGCAGGUGUGUGUGUAUGUGGUAUGUGUGUGGUAUGUGUGUGCAUACAUGUGUAGUAUCUGUGGGGGUGUGCAGAUAUGUGUGUGUGUGUGUGUGGUGUGUGUGUGUUGUGCAUGUGUGCAUAUGUGCAUGGUGUCUAUGGGGUGUGCAGAUGUGCAGAAUGAGAGUGUGGCGCUCCUGGAGCAUGUGAGGGAGGACAAGUGCUAUCCCAGGCUGAUGGUGGGCACUCUCCAGACCCACACAGAGCUUCUCAUAGCACCACCAGAGGAAGGCACCCCAGUGGGGGCAUGGGUGCGUGAGGUGGGGACGUGGCCGGGCACAGCCCUGAGCCCCUGCCUGGAGUCCUUGAAGGCAGAACCGGGCCUCACCGUUCAUGCCCAGCUGGUGACUGGCGUAUAGUGGGGCCUCAGAAAGAAUGUGCCCGGGGUGAAGUACCCUGAACGGAAGCCCCUUCCUUGUGCUCUGCCAGCUGACAUGCGAUGCUGGGAGAGUGCCUGGGGCUCCAAGUUGCAUGUUCAAUGUCCGUAUCUCCUGCUGGCAUGCCCAGUAAUGCUCUCUCCUGGAAAGAUUGCACAGGCAGCCGAGCCCUCUAGGCCAGCACAGGUGCCCACCUGUCCACUGCCUGCUGCUCCAGGGGGAGUAUCACUCAAGUUAGCCGAGGACCAUUGAAGGUGCCUUGAUGAAUCUCUUACUGAGAUGGGAAUGACCCAGGAAAGGAUUUCUGGAGACCGGGUGGGGCUGGGGCUGGGGAAGCAGAGUCUGUGCAGAUGACAGGAUUGAGCAGAUGACAGGGUCACGCAGAUGACAGGGUUGCACAGACACGCCAUCCGGUUUGCAGUGUCUCCAGGAGCUCAUUCAGCCACCCCGAGCCUGGGUCUCCAAAUCCACACACGGGACAAUAGCGCUGACCCCAUGGCACAGGAGGCUGUUUGUGAUGUUAUGUGGAUGCCCAGAGGGCCACCUGGCACGAGGCACAGAGCCAACAAGUGACGAUUCUCAUCACUGCCAUCCUAAUUCUUAAAAACUGAGGGUUUUUUGUUUUGUUUGUUUUGUUUUGGUUUUGUUUUGUUUUAAUAAACGUGUCAAGAAAUAGUAGAAACAUGCCCUGGUAAGAAUACUCUGAUGGGGUCCCAAUAACCUAAGCCAAAAAUAUAAAAUAGCAAAAGGAAGAAAAGAUCUAGAAAGCAGGGGUAGCAGGGACAGCAGUCUUCGAAAAAAGGUCAGGGGCCAGGGGUGGAGAGAGAGAAGUGCACGGUCAGCAGCCCGAGCCCUGCUUCCUCUGCCUGUGUAAGUGUGACGAGGGCCCAGUCCAGAAUCACAGAGCCAGACACAGUAUAGGAACACUGAUUUACUUUAACGUAAAUAUUUUGAUGUCUUUCUUUUCCUGAACUUUUAACCUUGCUGGUAAACAGAGUACCGACAGUAAAUGAAUUGUUUUUCUGAGAACUGACUUUUAAGGAAAUAGGAAAAAAACCUACAAUUUUUAUUAGCUAAUCGUCAGUCUUGUGCAGGGUUGAAACUCUCGGUAUUCUGCUUCUUAACUCUGCUUUAGGAGACACUUGGCUACCAAGAAAUUGCUUUAUUUUAAUUUAUAUAUGAAAAAAAAACCUAUAAAAUGUGUGAAUACACCCUUUCAGAAAUAGAAAAACUUACAAAGACAACAGAGGGAGGAAAGUCAUUCUGCAGAGGUUUCUGAGGCAAGAGAAAGAGCCAAUCCAAACUCCAGUUUGUCACUUGUGAUAGAAACCCCUCCCCCGCCCCAAUCCCCAGGAUUUUCCCUAUGGACUCCGGUCCUCUGCUCAGCACUCCUAUCGCCGUCACCGUUGAGAAGUUGUGAAGGAGGCACAGAGGGCAUCUGAAGUCCUGGCUGCAGAGUGUGGGCCUUAGGACACACUGUCACAUCCCAGGUGUGACCUUCCUUUCUCCAGGCAGGUGGAUGGCAGCCAUCUGUGUUUGUAAACACUGUCCCUGCCAAUAGACUGUGUGACACCAUUUGUGAUCAAUAAGAACAAUUACAGGGAACCGACCGGAACAAGGAAGCUCUGGACUCUACGUGGAUUUUUCACUUGAAAGUGCCAUCUAACCUCUGUCCUGCCAUUUCCUGAACUGUGAAGUGGACAUGUGACUUUCUGGCCUUCAGGCUUCUUGGAGGUGUUGUCGAAACACAGGAUCUGCAACUUUCUUCAAAAUAGUUGGGAAGAAAGAAGCCCUCUCCAUGCCACGUCAUGAUGGAGUCUCAUCGGGAUGGAAGCAGAGUGGCCGGUCCUUCAGGGUCCCUAAGCCUCAUAGUGACCCCAGCCUCCUCAGUAUUUACGCCAACAGCACUGUGUCUGUUCAGGUGGCCGCUGGGCUAUCUCUGUCGGAGGACGCCCUCUUUGGAAGACACAAUGAGGACAUGAGAGUAAACGUUUAAAGUCUUCCCUAAGAUACAGGGCGGUGGUAUGAUAGGACUUCUAAGAAAACUGCUCCUGCCUCCUUAGAAGGAGAAAGCAGGAAAAGAGGGAAGGCAGCGGGGAAGGUGAACCAAGCCACCCGCCUCUCUCCUAAGAUGAGGUGGGACGAACCACAGAGCUGCUGGGAGAAACCGCUUGCGGCAAGUUGACCCCCACCACUCUCCCUCCUACCCUCCCCCUUUCUUUCUGUUCAGAGUAAAUUAAAGAACUGGCUAAAAUCCACAUGUGUGGGUGCCAUCUUUAUCUGAUUGACCUAUACUCCUGGUCACAUCUUAUCAUUGCUUGUAAAGCAGCCCCUUCCUGUUUGCCAGACACAUGCUUCUUUAAAUGCUACAGACACACACACACACACUUCUGCUCUGCAGAAAAAUGCGACUCCAGGGCUCCAGUCCCCUAUGUUCACUGGAAGGGUUAAUUCUUAAAGACCAGGGCUGGUGUCAUAGCAAACCGCCCCAAACAUUUCAAUAGCUCUGCAAACAGCCUCUCUCUAAAAGCAAACAAGGUAAGACCCCAGGUAAAUACCAAAGAAUGGAAAUCUCAUACAUCUCCCCACCUGUGUCCUCCCUGUUAACAGGGUGUCCAUCAAUGGCUGAGGCUGGUAAGGCUAGGGAUUCGUUUAUAGCACUGCAUCAAUAAAAGAUUUUUUUAGAAAA